AAUAUUUGACAAUGGGCGCAAGCCUGAUCCAGCCAUGCCGCGUGAGUGAUGAACGCCCUAGGGUUGUAAAGCUCUUUCAACGGUGCAGAUAAUGCCGGUAACCGUAGAAGAUGCCCCCGCUAACUUCGUGCCAGCAGACGCGGUAAUACGAAGGGGGCUAGCGUUGUUCGGAAUUAGUGGGCGUAAAGCGCACGUAGGCGGAUCGGUCAGUUAGGGGUGAAAUCCCAGGGCUCAAUCCUGGAACUGCCUUUAAUACUGCUGGUCUAGAGUUCGAGAGAGGUGAGUGGAAAUCCGAGUGUAGAGGUGAAAUUCGUAGAUAUUCGGAGGAACACCAGUGGCGAAGGCGGCUCACUGGCUCGAUACUGACGCUGAGGUGCGAAAGCGUGGGGAGCAAACAG
rnacentral:rRNA from 1 species